ACCAGACUCCUACGGGAGGCAGCAGUGGGGAAUAUUGCACAAUGGGGGAAACUCUGAUGCAGCGACGCCGCGUGAGCGAAGAAGUAUUUCGGUAUGUAAAGCUCUAUCAGCAGGGAAGAAAAAUGACGGUACCUGAGUAAGAGGCACCGGCUAAAUACGUGCCAGCAGCCGCGGUAAUACGUAUGGUGCAAGCGUUAUCCGGAUUUACUGGGUGUAAAGGGAGCGCAGGCGGUGCGGCAAGUCUGAUGUGAAAGCCCGGGGCGCAACCCCGGGACUGCAUUGGAAACUACCGAACUAGAGUGUCGGAGAGGUAAGUGGAAUUCCUAGUGUAGCGGUGAAAUGCGUAGAUAUUAGGAGGAACACCAGUGGCGAAGGCGGCUUACUGGACGAUAACUGACGCUGAGGCUCGAAAGCGUGGGGAGCAAACAGGAUUAGAUACCCUAGUACA
rnacentral:rRNA from 1 species